CCUACGGGUGGCAGCAGUGGGGAAUAUUGGGCAAUGGGCGCAAGCCUGACCCAGCAACGCCGCGUGCAGGAAGAAGGCUCUCGGGUUGUAAACUUCCUUUAAGAGGGAAGAGCAGAAGACGGUACCUCUUGAUUAAGCCACGGCUAAGUACGUGCCAGCAGCCGCGGUAAUACGUAGGUGGCAAGCGUUGACCGGAUUUACUGGGUGUAAAGGGCGUGUAGCCGGGCUGACAAGGCGGAUGUGAAAUUCCUGGGCUCAACCCCGGACCUGCAUUUGAAACUGGUGGUCUUGAGUAUCGGGAAGGCAGGCGGAAUUCCUAGUGUAGCGGUGAAAUGCGUAGAUAUUAGGAGGAACACCAGUGGCGAAGGCGACUUUCUGGACGAUAACUGACGUUGAGGCACGAAAGUGUGGGGAGCAAACAGGAUUAGAUACCCCGGUAGUC
rnacentral:rRNA from 1 species